rnacentral:misc_RNA from 1 species
GUAUUUUGAAUUGUUUAUUCAUAAUAUUUUUCAGACAAAGAGUUAAAAGAUAAAGGUUGAUGUUUGGUCGAUCUCCAAGAAGAAGAUCGACUGACAUUGCACACAAGGUGGGUAUGGAAUUGUUAAAAGUGCCAUAAACACUUAUUGUGAAUGAUCCUUCCGCAGGUUCACCUACGGAAA